UACGUAGGGUGCAAGCGUUGUCCGGAAUUAUUGGGCGUAAAGAGCUCGUAGGCGGUUUGUCGCGUCUGCUGUGAAAACUCGGGGCUUAACUCCGGGCCUGCAGUGGGUACGGGCAGACUAGAGUGCGGUAGGGGGAGACUGGAAUUCCUGGUGUAGCGGUGAAAUGCGCAGAUAUCAGGAGGAACACCGGUGGCGAAGGCGGGUCUCUGGGCCGAGUACUGACGCUGAGGAACGAAAGCGUGGGGAGCAAACAGG
rnacentral:rRNA from 1 species